rnacentral:tRNA from 1 species
GCCCCCAUGGCUCAGCGGAUAGAGCGGCGGUUUCCUAAACCGUAGGUCGCAGGUUCGAGUCCUGCUGGGGGCG